CGCCCGGGGCAGCUGGCCGAGCCCUCGAUGCCUCCCGUCUGACGGAGGCGCCCGGGAAGCGCCGCCCACCUCGGCCCCGCACCCUCGCCGGCCUGCCGGGUCUCCGCCAGCCCUAGCAGACAGAGAGGGGCGCCGGUCCCUAGUCCCCCAGACCUCCAUUCAAGGUCAAAACUUUGCCCAGCUCAGCCUUGCUCGACCCUGGGCAGGGAAGCGCGGACAUCGGCAGAGGGAGCCCGAGGCUCUCCGUGCCCUUCGCGCCGGUCAAGAACUGUGGAAUCUUUCAGAUGAUAUUCUGAUACUUCUGGACCAAGAUUGAAUUUGUUCUUCAUGAAAAAUGUCUGGGACCUUUUAUAUGGACGGGGAAUACCAACGUAGAGAUGGUCAAGAAAAUUUGCGCUCCGACCUAAACCAAGCACGUUGUAUGAUGAAAGAGAGACAAACCUUGACCUGGAGAUGCUUAAAGGUGGGAGGAGCCAAGAUGGCCGAAUAGGAAAAGCUCCGGUCUACAGCUCCCAGCGUGAGCAACGCAGAAGACGGGUGAUUUCUGCAUUUCCAUCUGAGGGUGUACUCCAUCUACUUUUAAAAACAAAAAGUUCACUGUAAAACAGCCUCAGGUAGGCCGUUCAGUAGGUAUUCCAGAAGAAGGUAUUGUCAUCAUAGGAGAUGGACAGCUCCAAGGGUGUUUAUUGCCCCUGAAGACUUUCUAGUGGAACAAGAUGUGGAGGUGGAAGACACUGAUGUUGGUGAUCCUGACUCAGUGCAGGCCUAAGCUAAUGUGGGUGUUUGUGUCUUAGUUUUUAACUAAAGGUUUAAAAAGUAAAAAUAAAACAUUAAAAAAAAUUUUUGUACACCUGAA
rnacentral:lncRNA from 1 species